GGGACAGUCGAGAUAGCAAGAGGGUGAAGUCAUUGGCGUAAAUCCUGAGGCAGGAAGUCGGUCCCAGGGACGAUGGAUGAGCGUGGGGCUGGUGCCCGCACGGGGGGCAAGAUAACGCGUCUAGACUCCGCUGGCCAUUUCCUCCUCUUCCUUUAGGUGGCCUAUCGGCCGCCCCCCUGCCUUCCUGCCCGCUCUUCCGGGCCGCGCAGGACGGAGGCUCAGGAAGAUCUCGCCCGUUUCCAGCGUGAGGUGCUGCCCGGGCCCCCACCCCGGCGGGGCGUGGGUGCUCCCCCCGGGAAGGCUGCACUGGCCUCCGUCACUUCGUCAUCUCCGAGAGUCCCCUGGGUUAGGGGAGGGAUGACGCUUUCUCUCGCCAGUCUCCAAAGAGCAUCCGGAGAGAGCAGACCUUGCCGGUCUCACCGUUCCGAGGCGGUAGAAGCAGUUAUGCAAGUCGCGUUGUGGGGCGCCCUCCUCCCUCAGAUCACCUGGACAGCUGUCUGCUUACAUGGUGAGAAUUGCCAAGCUUCCCAUUUCAAGAUCCAUCUGGUUCUCACAUCAAGCUAAGUCACAGUCUUAGGAGAGAGCCCGAGCACACCCGGGAGAUGUGAAAAUGUAGGAACGAGCGUG
rnacentral:lncRNA from 12 species